rnacentral:tRNA from 1 species
GGAGAGGUGCUGGAGUGGACGAACAGGGCUGCCUGCUAAGCAGUUGCACUGUGUUGAACGGUGCCGGGGGUUCGAAUCCCCCCCUCUCCGCCA